AUUGAACGCUGGCGGCAGGCCUAACACAUGCAAGUCGAACGAGUGGCGGACGGGUGAGUAAUGCCUGGGAAACUGCCUGAUGGAGGGGGAUAACUACUGGCAACGGUAGCUAAUACCGCAUACCUACAGAUGUGCCCAGAUGGGAUUAGCUAGUUGGUGGGGUAACGGCUCCCCAAGGCGACGAUCCCUAGCUGGUAUGAGAGGAUGACCGGCCACGCUGGAACUGAGACACAGUCCAGAGUCCUACGGGAUGCAGCAGUGGGGAAUAUUGCACAAUGGGCGCAAGCCUGAUGCAGCCAUGCCGCGUGUAUGAAGAAGGCCUUCGGGUUGUAAAGUACUUUCGGCGGGGAGGCGUUACCCGCAGAAGAAGCACCGGCUAACUCCGUGCCAGCAGCCGCGGUAAUU
rnacentral:rRNA from 1 species